rnacentral:misc_RNA from 1 species
UUCAGAUUUUGGCAUGGCAAGAAUAUUUGGUGGAGAUCAAACUGAGGCUAAUACAAAUAGAGUUGUGGGAACAUUGUAAGUUCAUCCAGAUUCUUUGUAUAAUUCUAUCUGUAUUGCUUUGUGAACUCACUUUAUUUUUUACGCAUUGCUUUUCAGUGGCUAUAUGGCUCCUGAAUAUGCUGUUGAUGGACUCUUCUCUGUGAAAUCUGACAUCUUUAGCUUUGGGGUAUUAGUAUUAGAAAUAGUGAGUGGGAGGAAAAAUAGAGGAUUUCACAGUCAUGAUCAUCUCCAUAACCUUGUUGGACAUGCAUGGAGGCUGUGGAUGGAAGAAAGGCCACUAGAAUUAAUCGAUAAUAUGUUAGAGGAGUCUGCUGCCUUUUCAGAAAUAAUAAGGUGCAUUCAUGUAGGUCUUCUAUGUGUGCAGAAACGACCUGAGGACAGGCCAAACAUGUCAACUGUAGUGCUAAUGUUAGGUGGUGAGAGUUCGUUGCCCCAGCCAAAGCAGCCUGGGUUUUUCACAGAAAGGUUUACGCCUGAGGCAGAGUCUUCUUCAAGCAAUUACAGAUCAACUUCAACAAAUGAAAUCACAGUUACAAUGUUGGAUCCCCGGUAGAAGACCAUCAAUUGAACUUAUGGUAAAACUGAAGGUUUUCUUGCAAAAAUUCAAAAAAGAAAAGGGUAAGAAAUUAAAAUUGUUCAGAUGGUAUCUCUGUGAUAUUUAGGUAGUGCUUGAACUUGUGGACUGCUGCCUUGAGAUAUAUAAGAAGCACACUGCUAUACUGACACUAGUGAAUUAGGAAUAUUUUCGAUAAUGGCUGUGGUAUCUAUUCCCAUUUAAAUUACGUAUUGCGCUCAUGAUUGAUAACAAAUUAAUGUAAGCAAUAAAGUGGCCAGUACUAUAUCCCUACCAAAUGAACAGUAAAGUCUCAAACCUUCAAUGGUACUUAACUGUUGGUCUGUGCAGAAUUAAUCUAGUUCUGGAUAUUGAUCGUCCAAACAAAGUUUGCCAACGCAUUUGCUAAACCGAGAGGCAUCACCAUCCAGACAUACAACCCAUCUCUAGUUUCGAACUGAAUGAGACAUUCCACUUAUCCUCAAGCCUGCUUUAUAUUUGAGGGUGUGGUGUCCGCCCCGAAGGCGUACUUACUUCUUGAUAUUCUUUGACAUCAGAUUCAGUCUUCUGCUCAAAGCAAGUAACAGUCGAGAAAGUUUGUCCCUCCGCUGUAGGAACAAUUUUGAGUUUUGGUUUUCUUGAUAGUAGGCUAUGCAUGGUUAUUAGGAAUCCGAACCGAACUGAAUAAUCGAAUUGAAUCGAACAGGAG